UAGCAAGUGAGGUGGAAGCAGUAACAAUAAAAAUGCAGCAAAAGCAGAAGCAGAGGAUAAGCAGAAGGUACAGGAAGGCCUAAAAAUGGGGACCACACAUGAGGUUCGACAUGGCUGUCAAUUUUAUGGCAUUUUUGUGUGGAUCGGGUAUGCUAGGAGGGACCAUCUUAACGGUAUAUCAUAUCUGUGUAAAAUAUAACUACCAAAAACCUCAUCAAUACUCAGCAUGAAUUGGACUUGGAUCGAUCCUCGCUGUCCCAAUUGCAGUUUCGACAACUUCACCCUAAACGACACAGAUCCAAACAAACAAUUAACGGAAAAUUGGUCGGAACUAAUCCAAGACCAUGCGGUGACCCUGUCUUUAUUAUUCCUAUUUUCGCUAUGUACGGUUUUCGGGAAUACCUUGGUAAUACUUGCCGUGGUACGCGAAAGGUACUUGCAUACCCCUACGAACUAUUUCAUAACAUCUCUUGCUGUUGCUGACUGUUUAGUGGGACUUGUAGUGAUGCCCUUUAGUGCCCUUUAUGAAGUUCUGGAACAUACGUGGUUCUUUGGACCCGACUGGUGUGACAUUUGGCGAUCGUUAGACGUACUAUUUUCAACCGCAUCCAUUUUAAAUUUAUGUGUCAUAAGCCUGGACCGGUACUGGGCUAUAACUGAUCCAAUUGCUUAUCCAAUGCGCAUGACUCGCUUACGUAGCAUAAUUCUUAUAGCAGCUGUAUGGGUAUGCUCCAGUGCUAUAUCGUUUCCAGCUAUAGUUUGGUGGAGAGCAGUACGAUAUGAACCUAUACCUUUAGGCAAAUGCCCUUUUACAGAAAAUCUUGGAUACCUUAUGUUCUCUUCUAUAAUAUCAUUUUAUUUGCCAUUGUUUGUUAUGGUGUACACCUACUACAGGAUUUAUAGAGCUGCUGUAGCACAGACCAAAAGUUUGAGGCUGGGAACCAAGCAAAUAUUGAUAGGGGCAGAAAGUGCCGAGCUAACGCUACGUAUGCAUCGGGGUGGUACUGGACGAACACCACAAAAUAGUACAGUGGAAAGUAGGAACCAGUAUAGUACCGCAGAGGAUGAACCCUUAACAGCAUUAGCGAAUAACGGUCUAAACAGAAUACCAUCUACACGUCUCGGAGGUGCUCACAGUAAAAACUUCUCACUGAGCAGAAAACUGGCAAAGUUCGCCAAAGAAAAAAAGGCUGCAAAGACAUUGGGAAUAGUCAUGGGGGUGUUUAUAGUAUGCUGGCUGCCCUUUUUCGUGGUGAAUCUUUUAUCCGGAUUUUGUCUGCAGUGCAUUUGGCACGAGAAGAUUGUUCUGGCCGUUGUCACGUGGUUGGGGUGGAUCAACUCAAGCAUGAAUCCUGUAAUCUAUGCUUGUUGGAGUCGAGAUUUUAGGCGGGCUUUUCUUCGAAUCCUCUGCGUGUGCUGCCCCAGAUCAAUCAGGCGAAAAUACCAGCCAGCUUUCAGGAGUAAACCUAGUCAGCGUUUUUCAUCUACCCGGUACUAUUCCGCAUACUCACUACGCCACAACUCAUGCGAGCAGACGUUUAUAUAGCAAAGGGCCCCCUCCAAAUCCAAUCCUCCCUCCCUUUGUGUUGCCGCCUCCUUACCAUUUGCUCGAUCUACCUCUGUCUUUUAUUUUUAAAUUUUUAAACUUUAACUCUCUGUUGCCGGAAGUAAUAGCCUUAUCCUUAUUGAUCCGAUCCAAAAUUCAUGGGGCACGAAGCUAUAUACAAAAGGACACGAGAUAUAUACACACUACUUCAACUCUCACACUCAAGUCCUGGAACCAACCCCGAGCAACUGCACUUACUCGUCCGUCGGCCAACACGAGUUAUACCAGUUAUGACGUCACGUCAAACACCACCAAUCAGCUCUUCCCAUUCCGACAGCACUGGGAGCUCCUGGGAGUCCCCCACAAAGGAUUAUCCACUCCUGCAACCCUUCACCGAGCUCCAUUCGAGUGGCAUAACGUUUAAUUUGUAGUUUUGAUUUUUAAAGUUAAUGAAGUUUGAUUGAUUAAUAGGACAAUCAGUUAUUGCGCAAAUUAUAUUGAUCGCCAUAUGUAAUAUAGUAUUUAGUUUG